UACGUAGGGGGCAAGCGUUGUCCGGAUUUAUUGGGCGUAAAGCGCUCGCAGGUGGUUUGUCGCGUCGUGCGUGAAAGACCCCGGCUCAACUGGGGAGGGUCGUGCGAUACGGGCGAACUGGAGGCCAGUAGGGGGAUGCGGAAUUCCGGGUGUAGUGGUGGAAUGCGUAGAGAUCCGGAGGAACACCAGCGGCGAAGGCGGCAUCCUGGACUGGUCCUGACACUCAGGAGCGAAAGCGUGGGGAGCGAGUCCGG
rnacentral:rRNA from 1 species